AUUGUUUUUUGAGGUCUUUUUAGGUUAUCUUCUAGAAACGGAGGAUCUCUAAAGUGGUAGCGAUCAUCAUCACCCAUCAUCUUAAUUGGCUAACCAGAUCAUGCUCUAGUCGAAUCUCAAUUACUUUCUCAAUCCAAAACCAAAAUUGAAUGAUGGUGUCAAUCCAUUCUCAAUUUUUAGUUUUGGAUUGAGAAAGUAAUCGACACAACGAUUUUUCUUGAUUUGCAGAGUUUUGAGUUAUGUCUUCCGUAUCUAAAUCAUUGGCAGGGGCAUCAGCAAGAUCUCAUACAAGAGAAGUUAUCGUGUUUGGCCCUGUUUGGUAGACAUACUCGAAGAACGUUGCUCGAUCCUUCAUGUGGCACCUUAAUCGCAGUCAAUGAAUCUCCAUCAGCAGAACUUGGGGCACUCAGCUUCAAUGGUUGGCGAUUUCAUGUUUGUAAAUUGGAGUGAGGGAUGAUCCCUUGGUCAUUUUGAAUGAUUUGAGGAGGCUCUGGUUUCGCCAUGCAGCAGUAUGUGUUGGCUUACAUAUUCGGGGGAUUUUACUAUGAUAAGAUAGUGUCCUCUUUGCGCCUUUUGGAUAUAAAGGACCUUCAGUGUAAAGAAAGAAGUUGAACAACAAUGUCAAUGGCCCUGUGCGCUACUCUCAUGCUCUGGUUGCAUAUGGGUCUGAAUUAUUCAUGUUGGUGGGUACAAUGAGGAAAGUGAACUCAAUGACCAAAGCUCUUCUUGGAAACUUGAAGUGAUCUCUGGAAAAUGGCCUCAUGCCAGGUUUUCCCACACACUGCUGUUUAUAGGCAUCUAAUUGGCAUAACUGAAGAUUGGAACUUAUGAACAUAAGAGUUGUUUGUUCGAAUUACAGCCAGCAUUCUUUCUUGGUGAUGAGCUUAUCGUCUUUAGGGCUGGGGCUGCUUGCUAUGCUUUUGGGACAAAGUUUAGUGAACCAGUGAUAAUCAACUUGCUUCAGUCUGUAACUAUGAGCGAAAAUCAUAUUCCGCAUAAACCUGAAGAUGUUUCUAUAGAAGUGAACAAAAACAACGCAGAUUUGUAUAGUGAAACUUCUCCGUCUCAGUCAGGAGUAACACAAUUGGUUACCGGAUAGCGCUGCUUCUGCUUGUAUGCUAUGUAGUGUGAGGUUUCAUCCGAUUAUGUGUUCCCGUCAUCAUUGUCGAUAUUGUGGUGGAAUCUUCUGUAGGGACUGUUCUAAAGGAAGAAGCUUGGUUCCUGCAAGGGUUUGUGAUGUGUGUUUUGUGAGGUUGGAGUCUGUGCAGCCUUAUUUGAUGGACCAAGUUAUUCCUGCUGCUCAGUUGCCAACCCAUGAAUUGACAGAUCUUAGAACAUUGAGGUCUUGGGUGAAUUUUCCUUGGGGACAAUCCAUGGAGUAUGAGAUUUAUAAGGCAACCAACACUAUUCGGGGUUAUAUAACCAAGAUUGGUUCUUCGAGAACCGAGAGGUUGAUUCCAGAUGCUAUUUUAAGACAAGCAAAAGGUCUUGCAGUAAUCACUGUUGCCAUAGUUGGAGUUAUGGUUACAUAUAAAAUUGGGACUCGAUUUGUGGUUGCUCGUAGAGAUGAUGUUUCCUGGUCUCCACCCUCCGCCAUCUCUUCAUUUGGUUUGGGAUGGGGUGCUCAGACUGAAAGUUUUUCUGAACUUUCCCAUAUGAGGCAGCCUUUUAAGCAACGACUUUAAAUAAAGUAGCGAAAACAUGGUGCUGUUGAGCUUCCACAGAGGUAAGUGUUCUAGAAUGCUGAUUUUAUAAUGCUCGGGGACUAAAAUGGUGAAAAUCCGGUUGUGUUCAUGUUGUUUCCGCUUCCAUCGGAUAGCUUUUGUGUGUUUUCUCAACAGUUAGAUGGGAGUGGCUUGGGGAUAUUGGUUUGCUUCCUUUAACAUCCUUUAUAAGAUCCAGCUUGAAGUUCUAUCAGUGAUGAAAUUUGGUCUGCUGUUGCUGAAUAGCUUUGUGCCAGUGCCAGCCGCCCAAAAAUAGCUUCGAACCUUUUUUAUCAGAAAUUUGAUCAGCGCUUUUAGAAUCUUACACUAACUUUACUUUUAGUGGAAACCUUUAUAUCAUACCGAUUCAUCUUAAAGCACCUUAAAACCUGCAUUAUUGAUGCAUUAUAAGUUAUGAGAAUGCUGAGAACUUCACAAAACAUUUUUUCUUACCUAAUUGCAUCUGCUUGCCAUUUAGACUUAUAUCAUUGAUUUUGUGUUUUUGUCAGGGACGAGUUGAACAGAAUGGUACAAGGGAUAGUACAGUGAAGAUUUUGUGGGAGACAGUGGAUGGGAUGAUCGCUGUGAAGGUGGGAUCUUGUCCUCGUGGGGGAAUCUCUCAGAAAAGCUUCGAAUGGGUAAUAUGGCCUGUGAAAAUGAAGUUGUGGUGGACCUAUUUCACUGGAAUUGGGUAAAGGGCAUGCUGGUGUAUGCUUGUGAGCGGUAUCCUCAUGCUAUUGUGAGUGGAAUAUCACUUACGGGAGGAAUACUCCAAGUGAUCCGGCAAUGUCAAGAACUCAGAUGAGAGCAGUUGGGUCAAAGCAUGUCGCCACAGGUACGUCCAGAGCCAAAGGUGUUCAUGAUUUAGUUUGUCGCUGGGAAGUUACAGUACUGGAACAUACAGAGAAGGUGAAAUGGUACGCUCCUCAGUUUCGCCAACUUGUCACCGAUGUGAGAUGCAUAUGAUGAUGAUGAUGAUGAUGAUGAUACCUCUAAGAGACUUCCCAUUGUAUUCUGUAACUUGUAAGAUCUCAAUUUCAAUAACCGGUUUUUCUUUUUCUUUUUUUUUCUGGAGACAUUGAUUUCACCAGCAUAACUUGUUAUCUUGUACUGGUUUCAUAGAAUUCAUUCCAUAUUUUGAAAGGUUUUAUUAGUCAUUUUCAUCC